rnacentral:lncRNA from 1 species
AUGCAGCAAAAGGGAAUGAAUAUGAAUCAAACAUUUGAUUAUUUGGCUUUGGGAUUGUCAAUAGUAGAUGCUGUUGCUCCAGCUAACAAAGCCACCAUCUUGGAAGAGAGACAAUUAAGGUCCCUUGAGCCAUACCAUCUUUAUUGCCUUUUUAACGGUUUACACACAGGUUUAAAGAUCUCUUGGAUGUAUUCUGCUGCCCAGCAUUGCAGAGCAAUAGUUCUGGCAGUACCUGAAACUUUACAAAGCUUAAUGAUGAAAGUCAGAGCUUUCCUAAGCACAGCAAUGACGCCUGGUGGUGAAACACAGGGAUCCUGUUCUUCUAGGGCUUCUGUGCAGAUUGUCUUUCUAAUGUUCUGUUCUUCAACAUUGUGGUGGCCUGGGAACAAAAUCACAUUGGAGGUCUCUAAGUCUUGGUUGGAUAAGCAUGUCAGAGCUGAUCUUUCCUGAGGACAGCAGGGUGAAGCAGAGAACUUUCCAGUGUGUUUUCCUACAGUUUCAUUAAUUUUGUGCAGCUAAAGCUGGUUCAAAGAAAGAUCUUUCUUUAAGAAGUGCCCUACAGCACUGCAUGCAAAUAUUUCUGUAAUCAGAAACAAAUUCCUUGUUGUUUCUUGUUACUAAAGAGUACAGUCAUUUAUCUCUGCUUCCAGUGUAAUGCAUUAGUGGGCCAUGCCUGAAAUACGCAAUUCACCACCUUGAAAAUAUUGAGAACAACAGCCAGGUCUGUAGCUUAAAAAUUAAGAAUAAAUGUGCUUUCCUUAGUAGCAUGCCACAAACUAGAACACCAGAGUGCGAAACAGAGCUAUAACUUGUAUAUGAUAUGUAAAUCCAAAAUGAAAAACAAAUAAAAGUCCUCAUCCUCACAGUGAAGAAUUUCUUCCUUAUAUCUAAUCUAAACCCACCCUCUGUCAGUUAAAAGCCCCUUCCCCUUGUCCUAUCACUAUCUGUCCUUGUAAAAAAAUCCCUCUACAGCUUUCCUGUAGGCCCCCUUCAGAUACUGGAAGUUGCUGUAAAGUCUCCCCAGAGCCUUUGCUUCUGGGCUGAACAGCCCCAGCUCUCCCAGCCUGCACAGGAGAGGUGCUCCAGCACUCUGAGCAUCUUCAUGGCCUCCUCUGGACUUACUCAAGCAGGUCCAUGGGCUUCAUAUGUCUUGAGCCCCAGCUCUGGACACAGCAAUCCAGGUGGGCUCUCAUCAGAGCAGAGCAGGAAGAUCACCUCCCUUGAGCUGCUGGCCACACUUCUUGUGAUGGCAGACAGGAAGACCAGGGGUGAGACAAGCACUGUGUAUGAACAGGCAGCAGUCACUGAGCUGUUGUGACAUUGUGCAGCUGGCAGGAGCAGCCUUUGAACAGCAACACACCAGACUAUAUUUUCCUUCUAUUUCUCCACAGACAGGUAAGCUUCAGAUUUAAACAGCUGAAUUGAAAAACACCUGCAUGUGUGUGGGUGUGUGUAUCUAAUUUCACUUGUAAAGUUGUAAGGCCGUGGUUUAAGUUGCACAACAAUUCUGUAAGAUUCUUUGGACUGUAAGGCUGUGGUUUAAGUUGCACAAAAAUUGUGUAAGAUGCUUUGGAACUCUUUCAGCAUGUCUCUAAAAGUCCACAGUAUGUCCAAGCCAUCUGCUCCAAGCCUAAGUAAAUGAGGCACAUGUAUGAAAUUAUCUUAAGGAGACCUUGGACAGACUGAGGAGUCUUAGGUCAGGUUUAAUAGGUGCUACAUGCAUUAACAUGCAGAACAGCAGCUGUUAAGGUGUAAUUCCUACCAAUUUUACACCUUUCAGUUAGAGAAUGAGUCUAAUACAUGCUGGAUUUAUGCUGCCUUUUUUGUUACAGAAAUAAAACCAGCAAUGCUUUUAUGAAAAGGCUGAUCUAGUUUCUGCAACAAAGCAAACACGGUUUUGUAAAGCCUAAGUAAAGCCCUGUGGAACUUCACCAACAAACCGCAAUGCAUCCUUUUAACACAGAAGAAACUUUUCUGUUGGCCUUUUAGAAAGUGUAGAGAAGUGCACUAAGUGUGUAAGUCAUAACCAAUUGAUUGCCAAGCCUAUACAGACCAUAGGGACCCACAGGGAUCCCACUUGCAGUCUCCACUUGAAAGCAUAACAAAGGGAGGAAAAAACCAGCCACAAGGCAAGCCAUACUUGAAUCAGCCCUCUGACUGCAGCUUAGCAGAGAGGAACACUUGGGAUGCCAUACCCUCAUGCUCUUCAGGCACAAGAAACCUGUGUGAGAACUGCACUUAUUCAGGCACUGCAGCUACCUGGCUCCUCCCUGGAGAAGAAAGGAAUGGGCAGGCUCACAGGGCUGAAGAAAAGCCUCACUUUCCAAGAUGUCCACUUCACUACUUUGCCAAAGCACUAAAGUCAGUUGAUGAAUCAGAACAUCCAGUCAGGACUAAGACUGUGACUUUUUUUUAAAGGAAAAGUAUUUGACGGACAAUACAAUACAUACAGGAUAAUGUAAUUACACAGGAAUGCUGAAUCUGAGUGAUCUGUAAGGAAGAGUUCCUCUCUCCUGGUGGUGUUCUAAGGCUGUGUGAUAAAAUUUGCUGAGAAUAUGAAGAAAAAAAUCAAAAGUAAUUGAGUCACCUCAGUGUGCACCAUGUGCCAACCAAGGCACAUGAUUUGCACCUGUGCUAACACCCAUCCCUCUUAAGCUCAAGUAUAAAGCACUGGCUUAACCCACAUACUUCACCUACUGACCCCAGCUAACUAAAAACAAUACAUAAGCCAGCCAGUUCAGUUGCUUGUGAUUGUCUGUUGAAAUGCUCAGGAAAAUCAGAAUUUUAGUUUUGAGUGUUGAUGCACACUUUGCAGCAGGCACUAGUGGUAGAUGUUUUGGAGCCAAAGGAACACUUGCCAUUCACUGCUUUAAAGAAAAAACUCUUGAACAGAAAUGGAGACAGGAAUGCAUACAUUAAAACAGUAAUUACUGCUGCUCUUGGCAUUUACACCCAACUUGGUAUGUAUAAAAAUAAUAUUAAAAAAAUUAAAUUAAACAACUUCCCUGGGAAAAAUAAAUGCUGCAUUUGCCAUUAUUUUUUUUUAAAAAAAGCUAUUAUAUUGAAGUUUCAGAGUAAAAACCUGUAUUUUACUUAACCCUUCAUGCAGAGAAACAGCUCUGGGACUACCAAGCACUGAGACAAUUCAGCUCUAUAAGGGCUGCAGAUGUUCUUUGAAGUAAAACUACUUCAUGUCCCAGUUUUAUUCCACAAACUGCAUGUCUCAUCUUU